rnacentral:rRNA from 1 species
UGUUACCUCACCCAGUCCAGACAGCGUAAGGAUUGACAGGUUGAUUGUCCUUUCUUGAUUCUCUGGGUAGUGGUGCAUGGCCGUUCUUAGUUGGUGGAGUGAUUUGUCUGGUUAAUUCCGUUAACGAACGAGACCUUAACCUGCUAUUUAGUCGCUCGGUCUCCGUCCGUGCGCACUUCAUAGAGGGACUCUGCGGCGUCAAGCUGCGGUGAGGUUUAAGGCAAUAACAGGUCUGUGAUGCCCUUAGAUGUCCUGGGCUGCACGCGCGCUACACUGAUGCUUGCCUCGUGUUUACCCUCGGCCGAUAGGCCCUGGUAACCCCUAGUCUGCAUCGUGUUUGGGAUUGAUCUUUGCAAUUCUAGAUCAUGAACGAGGAAUGCCUAGUAUGCGCAAGUCAUCAGCUUGUGCAGAUUACGUCCCUGCCACUUUGUACAACNCCGCCNGUCNCUCCUACCGNUCGNGUGAUCCGGUGAGUUGUUCGGAACCUGCUUGCGCGCUCCGUCGCCGCUCGCGGGCCCUGUUUUGU